ACAGUUAUUUCAUUUUGUUAGUAUAUAAUAGGGACAAUAACACUAGAGCCUCUAUCUCUGUUCUUCUUCCUUAACUGGUUGAUAAUGGAACAUCAACCACAGAAACAGCAAGUCAAUGAAAAUAACCAGACUGAAUCAGGGAAGAAGAGAAAACGUUGUUCACCAAUAAUAAAACCAAAGGGGGAAAGAAGCUUUCUUCAAGGAUGCCUCUUUGCUUUGUGCUGUUGUUGGAUAUGUGACAUGUGCUUUGAUACCACUAUUGUGGUAGCAUAAGAGAGACUGCAUAGAGGAGUUUGAGAUAUCAAUAUUAUCUUCACCACCAGGCAUGAUACAUAUAUAUAAGUUGCCUGGUUUUUCAUGUUUAAUUUGUGUUGAAUAAUAUUGUAUUCUUAUGUGA